UCAAGUCAAUAACUGGUGUACUAAACCGGUUCUUAUCAUUUCAUUUAAACUUAAAUUCCGUGUUCCUAUUCCAUAUCUAUUCCAUACCACCUGCUUCAACCUUGUACAAUCACACGUAAACCUUACAUUUGGAGUCUUAAUUUAUCUAACAAAUUGAGAAGAUGACAAAUUUAAAAGUUUUUCUACUUGUUCUAUCAGCUGUUUGUGUUUCGUAUGUAUGGACAUGCCGUGACAACUACGCACAAAGUCACCAUAGUAAAUGUUACUGCCCAUGUGACGAUACCUUUAAUGCCUGUGAGACCAACUGUACAACAAUGUACCAUGACAAGCAACAUCUGAGCCACUGCCAAAUAAGGUGUACUGAUGGUCUGGCCUGGUGCAUUAAUGCAUGUAAUCAUGGAUAAAUAUGUUGAAUGUUUUAUAUAACGAGUUUUUAAUGACUGAAUAAAAAACUUACUAUUGUG